AUUGAACGCUGGCGGCAUGCCUUACACAUGCAAGUCGAACGGUAACAGGUCUUCGGAUGCUGACGAGUGGCGAACGGGUGAGUAAUACAUCGGAACGUGCCCGAUCGUGGGGGAUAACGAAGCGAAAGCUUUGCUAAUACCGCAUACGAUCUACGGAUGAAAGCAGGGGGACCGCAAGGCCUUGCGCGAACGGAGCGGCCGAUGGCAGAUUAGGUAGUUGGUGGGAUAAAAGCUUACCAAGCCGACGAUCUGUAGCUGGUCUGAGAGGACGACCAGCCACACUGGGACUGAGACACGGCCCAGACUCCUACGGGAGGCAGCAGUGGGGAAUUUUGGACAAUGGGCGAAAGCCUGAUCCAGCCAUGCCGCGUGCAGGAUGAAGGCCUCGGUUGGUAACUAGCUUUUGUUACGGUAACGAAAAGAACGUACUGGUUAAUACCUA
rnacentral:rRNA from 1 species